GAGGGUGCAAGCGUUAAUCGGAAUUACUGGGCGUAAAGCGUGCGUAGGCGGCUCGUUAAGUCAGAUGUGAAAGCCCUGGGCUCAACCUGGGAACUGCAUUUGAAACUGGCGAGCUAGAGUUUGAGAGAGGUAAGUGGAAUUUCAGGUGUAGCGGUGAAAUGCGUAGAGAUCUGAAGGAACACCAGUGGCGAAGGCGACUUACUGGCUUAAAACUGACGCUGAGGUACGAAAGCGUGGGUAGCAAACAGGAUUAGAUACCCUGGUAGUCCACGCCGUAAACGAUGUCAACUAGCCGUUGGCUCUCUUUGAGAGUUAGUGGCGCAGCUAACGCAUUAAGUUGACCGCCUGGGGAGUACGGCCGCAAGGUUAAAACUCAAAUGAAUUGACGGGGGCCCGCACAAGCGGUGGAGCAUGUGGUUUAAUUCGA
rnacentral:rRNA from 1 species